rnacentral:tRNA from 1 species
GUGUGUGUGGCUCCGUGGUAGAGCCCUUUCCUAGCACAUGUGAGGCCCUGGGUUCCAUUCUCAGCAUCACA